rnacentral:rRNA from 1 species
GGAAAGUUGCAAAGAACUUUGAAGAGAGAGUUCAAGAGAACGUGAAAUCGCUGAAGUGGAACCGGAGAGAGUUAACAUAACUUGGUAGCUAUAUUCUCUAUGGUCGCUUAACUGUGGCUCUGGGGAGUGGACGCUACCUGUUGUUGCACUGACUGCGUUGAUUGUGCUUUCCGAACAGUGUAGUGUUGCCCACUUUGUGGUGUCUUGCUUACUGGGAGGUUUGUCAUGGUUAACGUAUAGCCUUAGUCCCGAGGGAGUCAGUGUGAAAGUUAACCACCUUUCCGACCCGUCUUGAAACACGGACCGAGGAGUGUGAGUUAUACGCGAGUCAAGGAGUGGUGAAAACUCUAGGGGCGGAAUGAAAGUAAAGACUAGUUAACUAGUUGACAUGGGAUCCGCUCUUCGGAGCGGCGCACCAUGGCCCUGUCUUGUCUGCUUGCAGAUGGGCAGCGGUAGAGCGUAUAGCUUGCGACCCGAAA